rnacentral:rRNA from 1 species
AGUGAACGCUGGCGGUAGGCCUAACACAUGCAAGUCGAACGGCAGCACAGUAAGUGCUUGCUCUUACGGGUGGCGAGUGGCGGACGGGUGACGAAUACAUCGGAAUCUACUUUUUCGUGGGGGAUAACGUAGGGAAACUUACGCUAAUACCGCAUACGACCUACGGGUGAAAGCAGGGGAUCUUUGGACCUUGCGCGAUUGAAUGAGCCGAUGUCGGAUUAGCUAGUUGGGGGGGUAAAGGCCCACCAAGGCGACGAUCCGUAGCUGGUCUGAGAGGAUGAUCCGCCACACUGGAGCUGAGACAUGGUCCAGACUCCUGCGAGAGGCAGCAGUGGGGAAUAUUGGACAAGGGGCGCAAGCCUGAUACAGCCAGACCGCGUGGGUGAAGAAGGCCUUCGGGUUGUAAAGCCCUUUUGUUGGGAAAGAAAAGCAGCAGGUUAAUACCGCGCUGUUCUGACGGUACCCAGAGAAUAAGCACCGGCUAACUUCGUG